rnacentral:tRNA from 1 species
GGGUAUGUAGCUCAGAGGUACGGCACUUGCUUAGUAUCUAUGAGGCCCUGGGUUAAAACCCCAGCACACACG